GCCUAACACAUGCAAGUCGAGCGCGCCUUUCGGGGUGAGCGGCGGACGGGUUAGUAACGCGUGGGAAUAUGCCCUUUGGUACGGAAUAGCCUCUGGAAACGGAGAGUAAUACCGUAUGAGCCCUUCGGGGGAAAGAUUUAUCGCCAAAGGAUUAGCCCGCGUUAGAUUAGGUAGUUGGUGGGGUAAUGGCCUACCAAGCCUACGAUCUAUAGCUGGUUUUAGAGGAUGAUCAGCAACACUGGGACUGAGACACGGCCCAGACUCCUACGGGAGGCAGCAGUGGGGAAUCUUGGACAAUGGGGGCAACCCUGAUCCAGCCAUGCCGCGUGAGUGAUGAAGGCCUUAGGGUCGUAAAGCUCUUUCGCCUGUGAAGAUAAUGACGGUAGCAGGUAAAGAAACCCCGGCUAACUCCGUGCCAGCAGCCGCGGUAAUACGGAGGGGGUUAGCGUUGUUCGGAAUUACUGGGCGUAAAGCGCACGUAGGCGGAUCGGAAAGUUGGGGGUGAAAUCCCGGGGCUCAACCCCGGAACUGCCUCCAAAACUAUCGGUCUAGAGUUCGAGAGAGGUGAGUGGAAUUCCGAGUGUAGAGGUGAAAUUCGUA
rnacentral:rRNA from 1 species